GGCAGCCGAUCAAAGAUGUUUCUAUCUCACUCUCCCUCAAUCUGAAAUCGAUAAAAACAUUAAAAAAAAGGAGCCCAGAGUGACAGAUUUCCUUGAUGGUCGCCAUUCUGUUUGCUGAAACUGAUCUGCAACACUUUGGGAAAAGACAGUU